rnacentral:rRNA from 1 species
AUUGAACGCUGGCGGCAUGCCUUACACAUGCAAGUCGGACGGUAACAGGUCUUCGGAUGCUGACGAGUGGCGAACUGGUGAGUAAUACAUCGGAACGUGCCCAGACGUGGGGGAUAACGAGGCGAAAGCUUUGCUAAUACCGCAUACGAUCUAAGGAUGAAAGCAGGGGACCGCAAGGCCUUGCGCGUUUGGAGCGGCCGAUGGCAGAUUAGGUAGUUGGUGGGAUAAAAGCUUACCAAGCCGACGAUCUGUAGCUGGUCUGAGAGGACGACCAGCCACACGGGGACUGAGACACGGCCCAGACUCCUACGGGAGGCAGCAGUGGGGAAUGUUGGACAAUGGGCGAAAGCCUGAUCCAGCUAUGCCGCGUGCAGGAUGAAGGCCUUCGGGUUGUAAACUGCUUUUGUACGGAACGAAAAGGCUCUGGCUAAUACCUGGGGCACAUGACGGUACCGUAAGAAUAAGCACCGGCUAACUACGUGCCAGCCGCCGCCGUAAAAC